GACGAACGCUGGCGGCGUGCUUAACACAUGCCAGUCGAACGGAAAGGCCCUGCUUUUGUGGGGUGCUCGAGUGGCGAACGGGUGAGUAACACGUGAGUAACCUGCCCUUGACUUUGGGAUAACUUCAGGAAACUGGGGCUAAUACCGGAUAGGAGCUCCUGCUGCAUGGUGGGGGUUGGAAAGUUUCGGCGGUUGGGGAUGGACUCGCGGCUUAUCAGCUUGUUGGUGGGGUAGUGGCUUACCAAGGCUUUGACGGGUAGCCGGCCUGAGAGGGUGACCGGCGACAUUGGGACUGAGGUACGGACCAGACUCCUACGGGAGGCAGCAGUGGGGAGUAUUGCACAAUGGGCGGAAGCCUGAUGCAGCAACGCCGCGUGCGGGAUGACGGCCUUCGGGUUGUAAACCGCUUUCGCCGGUGACGAAGCGUGAGUGACGGUAAUGGGUAAAGAAGCACCGGCUAACUACGUG
rnacentral:rRNA from 1 species